GGGGGCGAUCAUACCAACAUUUGUGCACCGGAUCCCAUCAGAACUCCACAGUUAAGCACGCUUGGGCUGGAGUAGUACUGGGAUGGGUGACCUCUUGGGAAGUCCUGGUGUCGCACCCUC
rnacentral:rRNA from 1 species